UGUUUUUUUAGUGUAAAAAUGAAGGUUAUGUUUUGUAGCUUGAUAGAAAAUGGUUUAUGGUGACAGUUGCAAUUGAGAGUGAUGUGGUAUGGACAUGGAUUUUGUGUAUAGAUUAAUGGUAGUGUUAUGUGUUAGUGGAAAGAAGAUGCAUAAAAGUUGUGUGAGUGUAGAUGAAAAAGUAAUAAUUAUGAGAGUUAUGUGAGAGUGAGAGGGAGAGGAAAAAUAGUUUGCAAGUGUGGAUAAAGAGAGAAAUGAAUGUGUUUAUUGGAUGAAGAAGACAAAGGGAUAAUUUUGAUGUACUGAACGUGAAACCAAAAUAUCACCCUUUUUUCUAUGUAUUAUU
rnacentral:lncRNA from 1 species